AGAGUUUGAUCCUGGCUCAGAUUGAACGCUGGCGGAAUGCUUUACACAUGCAAGUCGAACGGCAGCACGAGAGCUUGCUCUUGGUGGCGAGUGGCGAACGGGUGAGUAAUAUAUCGGAACGUAUCCAAUAAUGGGGGAUAACUAAUCGAAAGGUUAGCUAAUACCGCAUACGCCCUACGGGGGAAAGCAGGGGAUCUUCGGACCUUGCGUUAAUGGAGCGGCUGAUAUCUGAUUAGCUAGUAGGUGAGGUAAAGGCUCACCUAGGCUUCGAUCAGUAGCUGGUCUGAGAGGACGACCAGCCACACUGGAACUGAGACACGGUCCAGACUCCUACGGGAGGCAGCAGUGGGGAAUUUUGGACAAUGGGCGCAAGCCUGAUCCAGCCAUUCCGCGUGAGUGAAGAAGGCCUUCGGGUUGUAAAGCUCUUUCGCAAGGGAAGAAACGAUACCGACGAAUAAUCGGUGUUAAUGACGGUACCUUGAUAAGAAGCACCGGCUAACUACGUGCCAGCAGCCGCGGUAAUACGUAGGGUGCGAGCGUUAAUCGGAAUUACUGGGCGUAAAGCGUGCGCAGGCGGUUUUGUAAGUCAGAUGUGAAAUCCCCGGGCUCAACCUGGGAACUGCGUUUGAAACUACAAGGCUAGAGUAUGGUAGAGGGGGGUAGAAUUCCACGUGUAGCAGUGAAAUGCGUAGAGAUGUGGAGGAAUACCAAUGGCGAAAGCAGCCCCCUGGACUAAUACUGACGCUCAUGCACGAAAGCGUGGGGAGCAAACAGGAUUAGAUACCCUGGUAGUCCACGCC
rnacentral:rRNA from 1 species